CAGCACUCGAGUUAUCACGACACUACACACUCUCGCUAAUGUGAAGCUGAACAGAGGACACAUAAAUACCAGUAUAGCAGUCUCUAUACAACCAAGCUUUCAGCUCAAGCACACAUAUGGCUUUGGAAGAACCACACAGGACCUUGGGAAAGGUCACCACUGUAUUUGCAACCAAGCUGAAGUCUUUCACCUUUGUGCCGUUUCUAAAAAGACUACCUGUUGAGAACAGGGUCUGGAAAAAGGUACUUCAGACAAGCAGACCAAGCAAGGUGAGAAAUACUCUAGAGACAGCUCGGUAUGGUUCCUGUUAUGCAUGCCAUACUGUGUCCCUCAAAAACACAAGAGGAAAAACAUCACACUACAAGGAACAGUUUAUCACUUUGUGCUGUUCUAAACCCAUAUGCUGUUAUUUUUUCCAUGGAACAUGAAUGUUUUGAAAAUUUUUAAAAAGUUGUUAUGCAGUUCUUGCCAUACAAUGACAGUUCAUAGUGGCUAAGCUUAAAAAUCAGACCAUAUAACAGACCCAGAUUUCAGUGUCAUUAUUUGCUCAAACAUUUUACCUCCACUGAAGUUCUCAAAUGUUAUUCGCAUUUAGAUAAAAAAAAAAAAAAAGACUGCUUUCUUUUUUACGUGUUGCAGUAAUAUUUGCUUUGAUCUUAAUAACAGCAUGUGGGUUUGGAACAAUAUGGUGAGGCUGAGCAUAUAAUGCCAGCAUUUUCAUAUUUGGGUGAACUAUUCCUUUAUGGCGCAAACAUUACACAAAUCUGAUAAAAAGGAGUGAGACUUCAGUGAUUAAGGGUCAAGUUCUACCCAGAGUUCCAUAGCAGAGGAUGACCUACGUGUGUGUGUGUGUGUGCGUGUGUGUGUGAGUGUGCAUGUGAGUACGAAAAUGUGAAAGGCAUUUGCUGAAGGGCUUACACAAUCAGGGUGGGUCAUGUGUGCUUUCAUGUGAACAAUACAUGAGGGACAUGGACUUCUGGAAAAAAGAUGUACAAGCUGAAAUGGGAAACACACGCACAUAUAAAUGCAUUCAGUAACUCUUUGAUAUCGUCAAGAUGUUCAGGUACUAUAAAUAGCCUGCUUUGGGACAGCUGCUUUUUCAGAUUUGGUGUCGCUUAGUGACAUUUCCUGUUCCAAUGUCAGACUUCACAAGAGCCAGGGGACAUUAAAAAGAGCAUGGCGGAAGAGGGAGUCUACAAAGCAGAGGUUGUUUACGUCCAAGACCCUGAAGAGCACCAGCUUGGAAGAAACGCUCAAGAACACCACUCAAAGUGAGGUGAGUAUUUUGGUACAUUCUGUCCCAGGGCAAACACAAACUCCUGAUGAAACAUUGUUCUUUAACUCCUUACUGAACCUUCUUUAAAAAUUACAUAUAAUAAAUGUAAUGACAAAAUGAUUGACCGGGAAGUU
ensembl:lncRNA